rnacentral:rRNA from 1 species
GACGAACGCUGGCGGCGUGCUUAACACAUGCAAGUCGAACGGAAAGGCCCUGCUUUUGUGGGGUGCUCGAGUGGCGAACGGGUGAGUAACACGUGAGUAACCUGCCCUUGACUUUGGGAUAACUUCAGGAAACUGGGGCUAAUACCGGAUAGGAGCUCCUGCUGCAUGGUGGGGGUUGGAAAGUUUCGGCGGUUGGGGAUGGACUCGCGGCUUAUCAGCUUGUUGGUGGGGUAGUGGCUUACCAAGGCUUUGACGGGUAGCCGGCCUGAGAGGGUGACCGGCCACAUUGGGACUGAGAGACGGCCCAGACUCCUACGGGGGGCAGCAGUGGGGAAUUUUGCAAAAUGGGGGGAAGCCGGAUGCCGCAGCGCCGCGUGCGGGAUGACGGCCUUCGGGUGAUAAACCGCUUUCGCCUGGGACGAAGAGUGAGGGACGGUAAUGGGUAAAAAAGCACCGGCUAACUACGUG